UUGAGAGAAGGGAUGACACAGUAGGAUAAGCUAAGCACACUGUUGGUUAUGUGUGCCCAAGCAUUGAGGCAGUCAAAGUAGGCAAAUCCGCUUUGAUAAUGCUGGGAUGUGAUGGGGAGCGAAAUUUAGUAGCGAAGUAGCUGAUUUCACACUGUCAAGAAAAGUCUCUAUCGAGGUUAAAGGUACCCGUACCGCAAACCGACACAGGUGGGUGAGGAGAGUAUCCUAAGGCCAGCGAGAGAACUGUUGUUAAGGAACUCGGCAAAAUGACCCCGUAACUUAGGGAUAAGGGGUGCCACCAUCAGGUGGCCGCAGAGAAUAGGCCCAAGCGACUGUUUACCAAAAACAUAGGUUUCUGCUAAGUCGCAAGACGAUGUAUAGGAGCUGACGCCUGCCCGGUGCUGGAAGGUUAAGGGGAUCUGUUAGAGUAAUCGAAGCAGUGAACUUAAGCCCCAGUAAACGGCGGCCGUAACUAUAACGGUCCUAAGGUAGCGAAAUUCCUUGUCGGGUAAGUUCCGACCCGCACGAAAGGCGUAACGAUUUGGGCACUGUCUCAACAACAGACUCGGUGAAAUUGUAAUUCCGGUGAAGAUGCCGGAUACCUGCGACAGGACGGAAAGACCCCAUGGAGCUUUACUGUAGCUUGACAUUGGGUCUUGGUACUACAUGUACAGGAUAGGU
rnacentral:rRNA from 1 species